UACGGGGGGGGCAAGCGUUGUUCGGAAUUACUGGGCGUAAAGGGCGCGUAGGCGGUCCGCUAAGUUGGAUGUGAAAACUCUGGGCUUAACCCAGAGCCUGCAUUCAAAACUGACGGGCUGGAGUUCUGGAGGGGAUAGCGGAAUUCCUGGUGUAGCGGUGAAAUGCGUAGAUAUCAGGAGGAACACCGGUGGCGAAGGCGGCUAUCUGGACAGAAACUGACGCUGAGGCGCGAAAGCUAGGGGAGCAAACAGG
rnacentral:rRNA from 1 species